rnacentral:rRNA from 1 species
GGUAGGUCAGCAUGCCCCGAAUUAUCUGGGCCACACGCGGGCUACAAUGGGCAGGACAAUGGGCGUCCUCCACCGAAAGGUGUCGGUAAUCUCCUAACCCUGUCCGAAGUUCGGAUUGCGGAUUGCAACUCAUCCGCAUGAAGCUGGAAUCUGUAGUAAUCGCGUUUCAUCAUAGCGCGGUGAAUAUGUCCCUGCUCCUU